UCUAUUUUGACAGAUUAGUGUGUUAAAUUUAGAAUUUAAUUAUAAAUAAAAUUUAUUUAUUUAAAUAGAA
rnacentral:tRNA from 1 species